AGAGUUUGAUCCUGGCUCAGAAUGAACGCUGGCGGCACGGAUUAGGCAUGCAAGUCGAACGGGUUUUAUGCUUUCGGGCGUAAGAUCAGUGGCGUAAGGGUGAGUAACACGUGGGCAACCUGCCCCUGAAUCCGGGACAGCCUCGGGAAACCGUGAUUAAUACCGGAUGUUAUUUAUCUGUUGCAUGACGGAUAACUGAAAGAUUCAUUGUUCGGGGAUGGGCUCGCGUCCCAUCAGCUUGUUGGUGAGGUAACGGCUCACCAAGGCCGAGACGGGUAGCUGGUCUGAGAGGAUGGUCAGCCACACUGGGACUGAGACACUGCCCAGACUCCUACGGGAGGCUGCAGUCGAGAAUCAUCCGCAAUGGGCGCAAGCCUGACGGUGCGAUGCCGCGUGAGGGAUGACGGCCUUCGGGUUGUAAACCUCUGUCAGGAGGGACGAAGAAUGUGACGGUACCUCCAGAGGAAGCCACGGCUAACUACGUGCCAGCAGCCGCGGUAAUACGUAGGUGGCGAGCGUUAUUCGGAUUUACUGGGCGUAAAGGGUCCGCAGGGGGUUUGCCAAGUCUGAUGUGAAAUCUCAUGGCUCAACUGUGAAACUGCAUUGGAAACUGGCGAGCUGGAGUAUGCGAGGGGUGAGCGGAAUUCCUGGUGUAGCGGUGGAAUGCGUAGAUAUCAGGAAGAACACCGAUGGCGAAGGCGGCUCACUGGCGUAUUACUGACCCUGAUGGACGAAAGCGUGGGUAGCGAACAGGAUUAGAUACCCUGGUAGUCCACGCUGUAAACGUUGCGCACUAGAUGUGGGGGGAUCUGAUCCCUUCCGUGUCAAGCUAACGCGCUAAGUGCACCGCCUGGGGACUACGGCCGCAAGGCUAAAACUCAAAGGAAUUGACGGGGGCCCGCACAAGCGGUGGAGCAUGUGGCUCAAUUCGAGGCAACGCGAAGAACCUUACCUGGGCUUGACAUAUUCCUGAUCGCUGUGGAAACGCAGUUUCCUUUCGGGGCAGGAAUACAGGUGCUGCAUGGCUGUCGUCAGCUCGUGCCGUGAGGUGUUCGGUUAAGUCCGGCAACGAGCGCAACCCGUGUCGUCAGUUGCCAUCAGGUAAUGCUGGGGACUCUGGCGAGACUGCCCGUGUCAAGCGGGAGGAUGGCGCGGACGACGUCAAGUCCGUAUGGCCCUUACGCCCAGGGCUGCACACGUGCUACAAUGGGCGGUACAAUGGGAUGCAAUACCGCGAGGUGGAGCGAAUCCGUAAAAACCGUCCUCAGUUCGGAUUGGAGUCUGCAACUCGACUCCAUGAAGCGGGAAUCGCUAGUAAAGGGGUAUCAUCAACGGCCCCUUGAAUACGUUCCCGGGCCUUGUACACACCGCCCGUCACAUCAUGGAAGCUGGCUGCACCCGAAGUCCACGACCUAACUUUCGGGAAGGAGUGGCCGAAGGUGUGUCCAGUGACUGGGAUGAAGUCGUAACAACGUAACC
rnacentral:rRNA from 1 species